rnacentral:rRNA from 1 species
UACAGGGGGCUCGAGCGUUAGUCGGAAUCACUGGGCUUAAAGGGUGCGUAGGCGGCUCGCCAAGUGCUUUGUGAAAUCCCACAGCUCAACUGUGGAACAGCAGGGCAAACUGGCGAGCUUGAAGCAGGUAGGGGCUGGAAGAACAGUAGGUGGAGCGGUGAAAUGCGUAGAUAUCUACUGGAAUGCCGAUGGGGAAGCCGUCCAGCUGGGCCUGUCUUGACGCUGAGGCAUGAAAGCGUGGGGAGCAAACAGG